rfam:Oryza nivara chromosome 3, whole genome shotgun sequence.
AAUAAAUGCAGUUUUGCACUAUUCACGUUCAACGUUUUACUGCUCGUCUUAUUUAAAAAUUUUUUAUGAUUAGUAUUUUUAUUGCUAGUAGAUGAUAAAACAUGAAUAGUACUUUAUGUGUGACUAAAUAUUUUUAAUUUUUUCAUAAAGUUUUCAAAUAAGACGGACGGUCAAACGUUGGACACGAAUAUUCACAGCUACACUUAUU